rnacentral:rRNA from 1 species
GGGCCCGCACAAGCGGAGGAACAUGUGGUUUAAUUCGAUGAUACGCGAGGAACCUUACCUGGGCUUAAAUGGGGAGUGACAGCUGCUGAAAGGUGGUUUUCUUCGGACACUCUUCAAGGUGCUGCAUGGUUGUCGUCAGCUCGUGCCGUGAGGUGUCGGGUUAAGUCCCAUAACGAGCGCAACCCUUACUGUUAGUUGCCAACGGGUAAAGCCGGGGACUCUAGCGGGACUGCCACCGUAAGGUGAGAGGAAGGUGGGGAUGACGUCAAAUCAGCACGGCCCUUAUGUCCAGGGCUACACACGUGUUACAAUGGCCGGUACAAAGGGCAGCUACACUGCGAAGUGAUGCUAAUCUCGAAAGCCGGUCCCAGUUCGGAUCGAAGUCUGCAACCCGACUUCGUGAAGUUGGAUUCGCUAGUAAUCGCGCAUCAGCCAUGGCGCGGUGAAUACGUUCCCGGGCCUU